CGGAUCCCAACAAACAAACAGCAAAAAGAGUUAGAUCAAAUAGAUCGCUAAGAACAUCAAGGAGAACAUUGUAUUCAAGAUAAAAAAGAGAGAAGAAGCCAUCUAGCUAAUAAUUAUGGACCCAUAGGUCUGUGGUAAACUACUCACACAUCAUCGAAGGGGCAGCAAGGAUGAUGAAGAACCCCAACAGAGUGUCGGAAAAGACCUCUAGAUUGGAUCUCGUGGUUCUGGAACUUGCGGUGGUGAAAACAAGUAUUUCAUCAACUCCACUAGGGUUCCUGGGAUUUUAGAGCAUCUAUAGAGUCGAAGGUAGGUCAAGGCGGUUCCCGUGGGCUCCAUUACCCACCAGGGCACACCAGAGGCCACUGCGUGCCCUGGUGCCUAGUGGGCCCCACUGGCCUCCUCUCAUGGCCUCCAGAAGCUUCUAGGGCCUCUUCUUGCCAGAAAAUAAUCUCCAAAAAGUUUCAGGGCAUUUGGACUUCGUUUGGUAUUGAUAUUCUGCAAAGUAAAAAACAAACAAAAAACAGAAACUGGCACUGGGCACUAAGUUAAUAGGUUAGUCUGAGAAAAUGAUAUAAAGUAGUUAGUAAAUUGUCACGCCCAAGAGGCGACCAUAUCUUCAAUUUGGCACGAAGGCCUCGUCAGGGAUAUAAGCGCAUCUCGUCGUGUCGCAAGAAUGGAUAUCGUUACAAGUACAUGUACUGAAAAGAAGAGAUAUAUAAAUAGAGUUGGCUUACACUGGCCACAAGCUACAUCAGAGUCACAACAGUACAGUACAUAAUCAUCAUGAAGAAGAGCAGGGUCCGACUACGGACGAAAACAAACGAGAAAAGAAGAACGACGUCCAUCCUUGCUAUCCCAGGCUGCCGGCCUCGAACCCAUCCUAGAUCGAAGAAGAAGAAGAAGAAGAAGAAGAAGAAGCAACUCCAAAUGAACAAUCAACGCGCUCGCGUCGAGUGACCUUUACCUAUACCUGCAACUGGUGUUGUAGUAAUCUGUGAGCCACAGGGGACUCAACAAUCUCAUUUCCAAAGGUAUCAAGACUAGCAAAGCUUAAUGGGUGAGGCAAGGUUAAGUGGUGAGGUUGCAGCAGUGGCUAAGCAUAUAUGAGGUGGCUAACUUACGAGUACAAGAAAUAAGAGGGGGAAGAUCUACGCAUAACGGACGUGAACUACUCAUGAUCAAAUGAAUGAUCCUGAACACCUACCUACGUCAGACAUAACCCCACCGUGUCCUCGAUCGGAGAAGGAACUCACGAAAGAGACAGUCACGGUUACGAACACAGUUGGUAUAUUUUAAUUAAAUUAACUUCAAGUUAUCUAGAACCAGUGUUAAACAAAGCUUCCACGUUGCCACAUAACCGCGGGCACGACUUUCCGAAAAGAUUUAACCCUGCAGGGGUGCUCCAACUAGUCCAUCACAAAUUAACACAAGCCGCAUAGAAAUCCUCAAUCACGAAGCUCGCGAUCUCGUCGGAUUCCCUAGUGGAAAACCUCAACUCUGAGAUUACCCAAAGCAUCACCGGAAUCCCGAUGCACAAGAUAUUCCGUCAAAGGUAAAACUAAUCCAGCAAGGCCGCCGACGUGUCGACGAUCCCGAUAGGAGUCGCGUACCUCGUUCUCAGGACACGGCGGAUGGAAAAGCCUACAGGUACCAAACCUCGAGUUGCCUCGUGGUGGCCCCGCAGUUUGUCCAUUUUCGACCAACACUCAUGAGGAGCACCGGCCCAGGGGUUGAUUAAAUUUCCUCGGGUUAAUUACUCCCUAUGCAGUUCAUUAGUUAUUAGGCAAAUGUAGUACCAAAGUUGGGCCUUGCGAGACCAGCUUUAAUCUAAAACGAAUUAUCAAGGGGGUCCCCAUAACAACCCCGAUCGUGUUAGGAGUGCUCAAUUAUGGAACAUAACACCGGUAGCCGAAAACUAAGGGGGCAAAGGUGGAACAAAACACCAGGCUAGAAAGGCCGAGCCUUCCACCUUUUACCAAGUAUAUAGGUGCAUUAAAUUAAAUAGCAUUUAAAUAUGGUGAUAUAAUAAGGAACCCAUGUUAUCACAUGGAAGGAACUACACCUGCAACUAGCAAUGCUAACAACAUGGUUAAGCAAGCGGUAACAUAGCCAAUCAGUGGUUUGCUAGGUCGAACAGGUUGAAGGUAAUCAUGGCUUUGUUGAGAGGCUGAUAUUUAACAUGUGGUAGGCAACGAAACAUAAACGAUAGAAGCGGUAAAACUAGCAUGGCAAUGAUAGUAAUGGUAUCUGGGGAAAUGGUCAUCUUGCCUGAGAUCCCGCUUGGAAGAAAAAUGACUCCGAGAAGUCGGCGAACCCACGUAGUCGAACGGGUCCUCACAUUCCGACACGCUUGCGGAACUCUAUCGAGACGGAACAAACCGGAAACAAACAUCAACACACAUAUUCACCACAAGAUGCACAACAUGAUGCACAACCUAAUAUGAUGCAUGAUCAGUUCAAAGAUGCAAGGAAUGGCAUGGCAGUUCACCUCACACCAACACUACACAUUAAGUGAAGCUCGAUAUGCAACGAGUUGCAUAUCGACGAAACUCCACGUUUAAUUAUUAGUUCACUCCCGUAUAAUAACACGACAAUAUUAAAAUGUUGUUAACAUGGCAAGGGGUGAAGCAUAAAUUAAACUACCUAUCUAGGCAUUUUAAAUGAGGCCGGAAACGACAUAUAGCAUCUCCGAAAUGACCCCACGUGUUAAAUCUUAAUUCUAUCCAGAUUUGUUCUAAUCACAUUUUAGGUUUGUCAAACGGUAAAACAAAGUGGUUCACAUGAUUCUACUCGUCAUUCUGGUCCAUUUACAUAUAUGGCACAUCUCCAACGGAGCUACGGACAAAUAGUUACAACCUAAACCGUUUUCAACACGUCGACACGCAAACCGAUGCAAACAACACAAUAAACAGUUCUAAUUAUGCAUGAGAGUUGGAAAUUAUUACUCUACGCAGAAAUUCUAGUCAAAAACCAUAUAUAACCCACUCCGAUCCGAUGCACGGUUUGGAAACUACGCUCGUUUGAAAAAAAAACAAAGCUUUUCCUGAAAUUAGCAAAGUCCGUGGAAAUUGGAAAAUCACGCCACGUUAAAAAAAACAAUGGACCGAAUUACACCAUGGUGCAGUGGCCCAGGGCUGAAAUCGGCCCAAGAACUGUGUGUGCGUGGAAAAAUAAAAAUAGCAGGCACGAGGUAAAUUGGGGUGCCCAGGACUCGAGCUCGGGACCUCCAAUUUAGUAACCUUGUUACGCUAGCCAACUCAGCUAUCAUUGUAAUCGUGCUCAAGAGUGCUGGCCAAACUGAAUAACUUGGACAGGCCGAAUGGAUCUGGCAAAACAAACAGACUUCAG
rnacentral:lncRNA from 1 species